rnacentral:rRNA from 1 species
UACGUAGGGGGCAAGCGUUGUCCGGAAUCAUUGGGCGUAAAGAGCGUGUAGGCGGCCAGAAAAGUUCGCUGUGAAAACUCGAGGCUCAACUUCGAGCUGUCGGUGGAAACUUUCUGGCUAGAGUCCGGAAGAGGAGAAUGGAAUUCCUGGUGUAACGGUGAAAUGCGCAGAUAUCAGGAGGAACACCGAUGGCGAAGGCAGGUCUCUGGGCCACUACUGACGCUGAGAAGCGAAAGCAUGGGGAGCGAACAGG